ACCCUAGAAAUGAAGAGAUUCUCCCCCUUACCUCGAUUUCUUCUGAAAUUUCCAGCUUGGCUUGAUCCCGUCACAACUAGGGUUUCUUCUCCUAUGCUCCUUUUUUCUUUCUUUUUUCACGUUCAACAAAAGUGACUUUUCUAACUUCUAAUGUUUCUAUUUAUACUUGGGUCAAUCACAUGUUAUAACUUUCUUCUCCUUUAUUCACUAUACUUUUACUCCUCCCCUCCGCCACUUAUUUAAAACUUAUAUUCUACACCUCCGACUUGUAUUAUAUUUACUUAAUUCUUCUCUUCAUCCUAUUAUCCCUCAUAAUGCAUCACUAAUCCACAUUAUAAUCAUAAUAAACACGACUCCACCUAUUUAACCUCACAAAAUUAAUUAAAUAGAAAUUUGGGGUGUUACAAUAUCAGGAUAUGCAUCUCGUAGUGGCAAAGCAGGAACAACAUUUGGCUUAGCAGGAGUAAUCUGAUCAAAUGACCUCUCUUUCAUGGUUGGUGUAGUAGAUUUCUCACUCAUAUGAGUCAUUUGGCUAAGAGUUUCAACUUCAUUCUCAGCGGUAGUGGAUAGCUGAGGCUGCAUAAAAUAGACAAAGGUUAGAAUGUAACUUAAUAUUAUUUCUGCAUUGAAUUAUGGCAUAUAACUAUCCUCUCUUGAUAAUAAAGCCAAUGUCAAUGUGAAAAUAUUACACUUACCAAGGACAUGGUAGUAUCAUCAGUUAAAGAGAAGUUAUCAGAAGACUUGUCAACAACCUCAGUGGAAUCAAUAGCCAAAGCAAGUACCUGGAAGGGUAGCGAUUACAAAUAUGGUGGAUAACAAAUUAACAUGGUAUUCCAAAAACAUUUGAAUAAUGUAUAUUGAUAAUUGAACACUUACCGGAGCAUUCGGAAACUUUGACUUUAUGAGUUCACAUAUAGCAUCUCCUUCCUUAAAGCUAACCACAGAGCUGGUUUUCCACCUUGGUUGCCAUUUCACCUUAAACACCAUAGAUUUUUGACCAAUGCUAUCAAUCAACAUGGGAUAUUCUAGGCGAUUAGUGAUCCCAGCCUGAAAUAUUGUCGUGUAGGUGUAACAAAUGUGGUCACAGUAAAAAUGUAAGUGGUCUAAAUAUGAAGUUACCUCAAUCAUGUUCAACCUAAGCUGAGCAGCAGAAAUUCCCAACAAUUAAGAGACCUCACGGUCCCACAUGACAAAAGUGCUUUUGGUGCC
rnacentral:lncRNA from 1 species